GGAAGCUGCUGCUGAUGGGACGGCAACCAGUCUUGAACACUGGGGUACGGUGGAAAUCCGUAGGGGUUCGACUCCUCCAGCUUCCG
rnacentral:tRNA from 2 species